rnacentral:rRNA from 1 species
GUCGUGGGAGAAAGUCGUAGCAAUACGGCAAGUAAACCGGCGCACGGGUGAGUAACACGUGGACAACCUGCCUUAGAGUCUGGGAUAACCCGUCGAAAGACGAGCUAAUACCGGAUAAGACCACGGGAAGUUCGCUUCCUGAGGUAAAAGAUGGCCUCUGCUCCUGCAAGCUAUCACUUUGAGAGGGGUCCGCGUCCUAUCAGCUAGUUGGCGAGGUAACGGCUCACCAAGGCUAAGACGGGUAGCUGGUCUGAGAGGAUGGUCAGCCACACUGGGACUGAGACACGGCCCAGAGUCCUACGGGAUGCAGCAGUCAGGAAUAUUGCGCAAUGGAGGAAACUCUGACGCAGCGACGCCGCGUGGGUGAUGAAGGCCUUCGGGUCGUAAAGCCCUGUCGGAGGGGAAGAAAAGUCUGUUGGGCUAAUAUCCAGCGGACCUUUGACGGUACCCUCAAAGGAAGCACCGGCUAACUCCGUGCCAGCAGCCGCGGUAAGACGGAGGGUGCAAGCGUUGUUCGGAUUGACUGGGCGUAAAGGGCGUGUAGGCGGUUUGUCAAGUCGGGUGUGAAAGCCUGGGGCUCAGCCCCAGAAGUGCAUCCGAAACUAGCGAGCUAGAGCGCGAUAGAGGAGGGUGGAAUUCCUGGUGUAGCGGUGAAAUGCGUAGAUAUCAGGAGGAACACCGGCGGCGAAGGCGGCCCUCUGGAUCGUUGCUGACGCUGAGACGCGA